GAUGAACGCUGGCGGCGUGCCUAAUACAUGCAAGUCGAGCGAACGGACGAGAAGCUUGCUUCUCUGAUGUUAGCGGCGGACGGGUGAGUAACACGUGGAUAACCUACCUAUAAGACUGGGAUAACUUCGGGAAACCGGAGCUAAUACCGGCUAAUAUUUUGAACCGCAUUGUUCAAAAGUGAAAGACGGUCUUGCUGUCACUUAUAGAUGGAUCCGCGCUGCAUUAGCUAGUUGGUAAGGUAACGGCUUACCAAGGCAACGAUGCAUAGCCGACCUGAGAGGGUGAUCGGCCACACUGGAACUGAGACACGGUCCAGACUCCUACGGGAGGCAGCAGUAGGGAAUCUUCCGCAAUGGGCGAAAGCCUGACGGAGCAACGCCGCGUGAGUGAUGAAGGUCUUCGGAUCGUAAAACUCUGUUAUUAGGGAAGAACAUAUGUGUAAGUAACUGUGCACAGCUUGACGGUACCUAAUCAGAAAGCCACGGCUAACUACGUG
rnacentral:rRNA from 1 species